rnacentral:lncRNA from 1 species
CAGCAAUAAGGCCACAUUGGGAGUAGAGAGUGGUGGAGAGAAAGAGAGAAGGUCAGAGAGGUCAGUAAAGUCCAGACCAUGCACAGCUUCAGGUCAGGUGAAGAAUGGGAAGCUAUUGGCAGAUUUUAAGCAGGGGAAUGUCAUGAUCUAAUGUUUUCAAAAGACCACUCUAGCAGGAGUGUGGUGGAGUGAGAGUGGGUGUGGGAAGAGCAGUUAUAUGACCAUUUAAGCGAUCUUAGCAGACAUGAUGGCAGCUCUGCAAUGAAGACCAGGAGAUGAACACGGGAUACAUUUUGGAGUUGUAGCUGAUCGGGCAUACUGAUGGAUUAGAGGGGGGUAGCAGUAAGCAAGGGGUCUUUGAAGAGUUCACCCAGGAGCUUCAAAAUGAGGAACAGUGCUUGCAAUUUCCUUGAAUACUAAGAACAUCCAGCUAUUUGUAGACAGAUAAAAGAGAGCAGCCCCCAGAGGUGCUGAUCCAGCCAAGAUAGCUCAUCCAGGUAACUGCACUGGGGAAAAGAUUAUAUCCAAAACUUUUGGAUUGCUCGACAUUAGAUGUUAACUCUGAGCUAAUACUAAUUUCCAGGGACCCAGAAUGAACUUAUCAAUGGAUAUCAGGUAUGCCUACCAUUUAAUGCUAACAAAGAUGAUACUUCCCAUUCCUUUCUUUCCUGCUCAAGAACAUGUUGAUAUACUAAUCUUGAAGCAGAAGAAACCAAGUUUUGAGGUGUUUUUGAAGUCAAAGUCUCCAAACUAUGAUUCUUGCUCACAAGUUGACCAACACAAUGAAAAUUGUUGCAAAAAUGUAAUCUUUAGUGAAAAAAACUGUCUGGGAGCCAUCUUGGCCAUAGCAUCCUGAAUAAACGUAAAACUUGAAAUGUUGUUCAAGGUGGAUUACUUAAUUACCAUUUACCACUUG